rnacentral:rRNA from 1 species
CCCUUAGAUGUUCUGGGCCGCACACGCGCUACACUGCAGGAGGCAGCGUGUACUCCUGGAUCGAAAGAUUUGGGUAACCCGCGAAUCUCCUUCGUGCUAGGGAUUGAGGUUUGCAAUUAUCCUUCAUGAACGAGGAAUUCCCAGUAAGUGCAAGUCAUAAGCUUGCGCUGACUACGUCCCUGCCCUUUGUACACACCGCCCGUCGCUACUACCGAUUGAAUGAUUUAGUGAGGACUUCGGACUGGGACCGAUGCGGCUUUCGGGCUGCGUCGGUAUUCUGGAAAGAUGUCCAAACUGUAUCAUUUAGAGGAAGUAAAAGUCGUAACA